rnacentral:rRNA from 1 species
ACGUGGAUAACCUACCUAUAAGACUGGGAUAACUUCGGGAAACCGGAGCUAAUACCGGAUAAUAUAUUGAACCGCAUGGUUCGAUAGUGAAAGACGGUUUUGCUGUCACUUAUAGAUGGAUCCGCGCCGCAUUAGCUAGUUGGUAAGGUAACGGCUUACCAAGGCAACGAUGCGUAGCCGACCUGAGAGGGUGAUCGGCCACACUGGAACUGAGACACGGUCCAG